AACGAACGCUGGCGGCAUGCCUAACACAUGCAAGUCGAACGAUUGCCUUCGGGUGAUAGUGGCGCACGGGUGCGUAACGCGUGGGAAUCUGCCCUUAGGUUCGGAAUAACAGCUGGAAACGGCUGCUAAUACCGGAUGAUAUCGCGAGAUCAAAGAUUUAUCGCCUGAGGAUGAGCCCGCGUUGGAUUAGGUAGUUGGUGGGGUAAAGGCCUACCAAGCCGACGAUCCAUAGCUGGUCUGAGAGGAGGAUCAGCCACACGGGGACUGAGACACGGCCCAGACUCCUACGGGAGGCAGCAGUGUGGAAUAUUGGACAAUGGGCGCAAGCCUGAUCCAGCAAUGCCGCGUGAGUGAUGAAGGCCCUAGGGUUGUAAAGCUCUUUUACCCGGGAAGAUAAUGACUGUACCGGGAGAAUAAGCCCCGGCUAACUCCGUG
rnacentral:rRNA from 1 species